GACGAACGCUGGCGGCGUGCCUAAUGCAUGCAAGUCGAACGUAGACCCCUCGGGGUCCAAGUGGCGCACGGCUGAGUAUCACGUGCGUACCGACCUUCCAGUGGGGGACAACGGGUCGAAAGAUCCGCUAAUCCCGCAUAAUCUCUUCGGAGCAAAGCUUUCGCGCUGGAAGCCGGGCGUGCGGCCCAUCAGGUUGUUGGUGUGGUAACGGCGCACCAAGCCCGUGACGGGUAGCUGGUCUGUGAGGACGACCAGCCAGACUGGGACUGAGACACGGCCCAGACUCCUGCGGGAGGCAGCAGCAAGGAAUUUUCCCCAAUGGGCGCAAGCCUGAGGGAGCAACGCCGCGUGCAGGACGACGGCUUUCGGGUUGUAAACUGCUUUUGCGUGGGACGAUAACGACGGUACCACGCGAAUAAGCCCCGGCUAACUCUG
rnacentral:rRNA from 1 species